CUUGACCGAGCCGAGCCACAGCGGGUCGUCGCGUCGCUCCUGGCCGUAGGUGGCCAUCAGCGCCUGUGCCUC
rnacentral:antisense_RNA from 1 species